CUGACGGUAGUCGUAUGCUCGUCUCCGAGACUAAGCCAUGCAAGUCCAAGUACACGUCCUUGAACGACGGAAACUGCGAACGGCUCAUUAAAUCAGUUGCGAUCUACUCGGCGUUCCGCGCCGCCGGAUAACCGUAGUAAUUCUAGGGCUAAUACGUGCGAAGCGCCCGAACGCCGCGAGGCGACGGCGUUCUCGCCGGAUGUAGGAACCGACCCGGGGACCGCCGGGGCAACCCGGCGCCCCCGAGACGGGGCGAACCACGGUGAAAUGACGGAUCGUCGGCCCCGCGCCGGCGACUCGCCGAAUGAGUUUCUGACCUAUCAACUCGAGACGGCGGGGUAGAGGCCCGCCGCGGUAACGACGGGUAACGGGGAAUCAGGGUUCGAUUCCGGAGAGGGAGCCCGAGAAACGGCUACCACUUCCAAGGAAGGCAGCAGGCGCGCAACUUACCCUAAUCUCGAUUCGAGGAGGUAGUG
rnacentral:rRNA from 1 species